UACGUAGGGGGCGAGCGUUGUCCGGAGUUACUGGGCGUAAAGCGCUUGUAGACGGUCCACCAAGUUUGGGGUGACAGUUGCCGACUUAAUCGGCAAAGUGCCUCAAAGACUGGCGGACUUGAGGGCCACAGAGGGACAUGGAACUCCAGGUGUAGUGGUGAAAUGCGUAGAUAUCUGGAAGAACACCAAUGGCGAAGGCAGCUCGCUGGGACGGUACUGACGCUGAGACGCGAAAGCGUGGGGAGCAAACAGG
rnacentral:rRNA from 1 species